rnacentral:rRNA from 1 species
ACCCUACGGGAGGCAGCAGUGGGGAAUAUUGGGCAAUGGGCGAAAGCCUGACCCAGCAAUGCCGCGUGAAUGAAGAAGGUCUUAGGAUUGUAAAAUUCUGUCCUAUGGGAAGAAACAAAUGACGGUACCAUAGGAGGAAGCCCCGGCUAACUACGUGCCAGCAGCCGCGGUAAUACGUAGGGGGCGAGCGUUGUCCGGAAUUACUGGGCGUAAAGCGCUCGUAGGCGGUAUGUCAAGUCAAGGGUGAAAUCCCCGCGCUCAACGUGGGAACUGCCUUUGAAACUGGCAAACUGGAGUGUGUGAGG